CUUCACCGAGCCCAGCCACAGGGGGCGUUCCCGGUCCUGGCCGUAGGUGGCGAGGAGUGCCUGUGCCUC
rnacentral:antisense_RNA from 1 species